rnacentral:snRNA from 1 species
CUCUCCCACAUAUACUAAAAUUGGAACAAUACAGAGGAGAAGACUAGCAGGGCCCCUGCACAAGAAUACCCUUUUAAAACUAGCUCUUUAGUUCUAU